UACGUAGGGUGCAAGCGUUGUCCGGAAUUAUUGGGCGUAAAGAGCUCGUAGGCGGUCUGUCGCGUCGGCUGUGAAAUCCCGAGGCUCAACCUCGGGUCUGCAGUCGAUACGGGCAAACUGGAGUGUUGCAGGGGAGACUGGAAUUCCUGGUGUAGCGGUGAAAUGCGCAGAUAUCAGGAGGAACACCGGUGGCGAAGGCGCCUAUCUGGCCCGAUACUGACGCUGAGGCGCGAAAGCUAGGGGAGCAAACGGG
rnacentral:rRNA from 1 species